rnacentral:rRNA from 1 species
GACGGAGUGUUGAUACUUCGGUGUGAACACUUAGUGGCGAACGGGUGAGUAACGCGUUGGUGACCUACCCCGAAGCGUGGGAUAACAGCUCGAAAGGGCUGCUAAUACCGCAUGAGGUUACAUGAGUUAGAGAGAUGUAACGAAAGGAGAAAUCCGCUUUGGGAGGGGCCUGCGUCCCAUCAGCUAGUUGGUAGGGUAACGGCCUACCAAGGCAAGGACGGGUAGGGGGCCUGAGAGGGUGAUCCCCCACACUGGCACUGAAACACGGGCCAGACACCUACGGGUGGCAGCAGUAGGGAAUAUUGGUCAAUGAGCGAAAGCUUGAACCAGCAACGCCGCGUGCACGAUGAAGGCCUUCGGGUCAUAAAGUGCUUUUCGGGGAGAAGAGGAAGGACGGUAUCCCCGGAAUAAGGAUCGGCUAACUACGUGCCAGCAGCCGCGGUAAAACGUAGGAUCCGAGCGUUAUCCGAAUUCACUGGGCGUAAAGCGCGUGUAGGCGGUUCAGUAAGUUGGAUGUAAAAGCUCCUGGCUCAACUGGGAGAGGACGUUCAAUACUGUUGGACUAGAGGACGGCAGAGGAAGGUGGAAUUCCCGGUGUAGUGGUGAAAUGCGUAGAUAUCGGGAGGAACUCCAGUGGCGAAGGCGGCCUUCUGGGCCGUACCUGACGCUCAGACGCGAAAGCUGGGAGAGCAAACGGGAUUAGAAACCCCGGUAGUCCUAGCCGUAAACGAUGUAGACUGGUGUUGGGAGUGUAAAAACCUUUCAGUGCCGAAGCAAACGC